GGCAACAGCUCAAAUUUGAAAUCUGGCCCCUCCGGGGUCCGAGUUGUAAUUUGUAGAGGAUGCUUCGGCGUCGGUCCCGGGAUAGGUCCCUUGGAACAGGGCGCCCUGGAGGGUGAGAGCCCCGUACUCGGCCGGAUGGCCGUCGCCGUGUGAAGCCCCUUCGAAGAGUCGAGUUGUUUGGGAAUGCAGCUCUAAGCGGGAGGUGAAUUUCUUCUAAAGCUAAAUACCGGCCAGAGACCGAUAGCGCACAAGUAGAGUGAUCGAAAGAUGAAAAGCACUUUGGAAAGAGAGUUAAAAAGCACGUGAAAUUGUUGAAAGGGAAGCUCUUGCCGCCAGACUUGCCGCGGCCGCUCAGCCGUCCCCCCCGGGGGUCGGCGUACUCGUCCGCGGCAGGCCAGCGUCAGUUCGGGCGGCCGGAUAAAGGCCCUGGGAAUGUAGCCCCCCCGAGGGGGGUGUUAUAGCCCGGGGUGUAAUGCGGUCGGACCGGUCUGAGGAACGCGUUCGCGAGGACGCUGGCGUAAUGGCUGCAAGCGACCCGUCUUGAAACACGGACCAAGGAGUCUAACAUCUGUGCGAGUGUUUGGGUGUCAAACCCAUGCGCGCAAUGAAAGUGAACGGAGGUGGGAACCCCCCCGAGGGGCGCACCAUCGACCGAUCCUGAUGUCUUCGGAUGGAUUUGAGUAAGAGCAUAGCUGUUGGGACCCGAAAGAUGGUGAACUAUACCUGAAUAGGGUGAAGCCAGAGGAAACUCUGGUGGAGGCCCGCAGCGGUUCUGACGUGCAAAUCGAUCGUCAAAUUUGGGUAUAGGGGCGAAAGACUAAUCGAACCAU
rnacentral:rRNA from 1 species